CUAACCCUAGCCCAUCCCUCACCCGCCGCCACACACCCUCCUCUACCCUCAAUUUCCUUCCUCCACUUCACCGCAAGAUGCAACUAGCCAUGGCAGUAGAAGCAAUCCGCAAGGCCGCAGCUGCGUCAGAUCUGGAGUGCAAGGCGACGAAGGCCUUCGUCGAUGGCGAUUUCAAGCUCGCCGAGCUCUACAUCCAGGCCAUCAUGACCCACGACCCCAAUCUCUCUACCGCUCAACCCAGCCGCCCAUGUCCUCUCCAUUCACCUUAUCCCCCCUCCUUCUCUCUAUCGAAUUCUAUCUCUCAGUCUCCCACUCUCUCUCUACAGGCAACCCCUGAUGUGAUUGAUAAUCAGGCACGGAGGAGUAUGCCAUGGAGUCGCAGGCCAUCUGGUGCCAGUUCGUCCACCCAGCCGUACCCCUCGGAGGACCUCAACAGCUGAGACGCUGAAUUCGCCAAGGUCGACCAGGCUACCCUCUUCGACCUCAUCCUGGUUCAGUGAAUUUGAAACUGAUGGUGGGCCAGUUGCUUAUGUUCUUCAGCCUAAAUUUAACGGUUCCACCAAAAAUAGGGAGCGUUUCAGGAAGAACUACAAGGCGAAGCACCCCAACAACAAGCAGGGAAAUUGAUGCUAUGAUCACUGAUGGCACUGCUGCUCCAACAUGGUGAGAAGGCUCAAGAUGAUCCACCAAUGUAUAGAAUUUAUGUAGAUUGAGGCUGGUGCUGCUGUGAAAGAAGAUCCGAAGAGCCUGGAGAUGUGCACUGAAGUUGUAGUUGAUAUAGCCACUGUAUUGGUGCUUGUUUAACUUAUACUGAUUGUAUGUAGGCUUGUUGGAUCUAAACUGUAAUUAGACACGUUUCUGCUCUGUAA